rnacentral:rRNA from 1 species
GACGAACGCUGGCGGCGUGCUUAACACAUGCAAGUCGAACGGAAAGGCCCUGCUUUUGUGGGGUGCUCGAGUGGCGAACGGGUGAGUAACACGUGAGUAACCUGCCCUUGACUUUGGGAUAACUUCAGGAAACUGGGGCUAAUACCGGAUAGGAGCUCCUGCUGCAUGGUGGGGGUUGGAAAGUUUCGGCGGUUGGGGAUGGACUCGCGGCUUAUCAGCUUGUUGGUGGGGUAGUGGCUUACCAAGGCUUUGACGGGUAGCCGGCCUGAGAGGGUGACCGGCCACAUUGGGCCUGAGAUACGGCCCAGACUCCUACGUGAGGCAGCAGUGGGGAAUAUUGCACAAUGGGCGGACGCCUGAUGCAGCAACGCCGCGUGCGGGAUGACGGCCUUCGGGUUGUAAACCGCUUUCGCCUGUGACGAAGCGUGAGUGACGGUACUGGGUAAAGAAGCACCGGCUAACUACGUG